AUCUACAGUACGCCGAAUUUCGCGAAAAGCGAAUACGGGGGAACCAGUUUUUGGGGUGAAUCCCGAAAGGGAGGGGCUACCUUUCGGCCCUAACCCGUCAGCUAACCCCGGAGGCGGAGAAAGGAGGGGUA
rnacentral:sRNA from 2 species